rnacentral:lncRNA from 1 species
UUUGAAGACAUUGUUCGUUGUGGAAACUGGGGAAGUGCUGCUGGAAUCUAGUAAAUAGAGGCUAAGGAUGCUGUUGCUGAACAGCCUCUGAUGCACAGAACAGCCCCCACCCCCAACAAAGAAUAAUCCAGCCUCAAAUGAUAGUGUUGCUGUUGAGAAACCCCGAUCUAAAGAGAAAGCAGCUUUGCUAGGGAAGAUUUGAGCAGGGCCCCAUGAAUAAACCCACCAGAGUGAGCUGCAGCUGUGAGUUCCAGGCUUGGAACCUUCUGUGCCUGUUUAGUGCCCUCAAAUUUGAGCCCACACCCUUCGGCACAGACACUAAGACUUCCUUCCAUGAUCUAGCCCUGGCUUACCCUUCAGCCUCAUCUCCCACUGAGUUUUGGUCACACCAGACCAUCAAUAUCCCAGAUACUUCAAAGUCCUUGCCCUUGAGGAAGGAGAUUCCAUACCCUGUCUGGAAUGCUCUCCUUCCACUUCUGUCUGACAGAUACUCACUCCCCGCUCCCUGUUCUGAGUCCAGCUGUGGCAUAUUUGAGAAGCCUUUUUCAUUGCUAUCCUGCAUCUUCCUUGUUCCUGGGGUAGCCCACAGCCUCUCUUCCAUAGAACAUCACACAAGACAGAUGCUGGGAUGGCUGACUUGUGUAUCUGUCUCUCCGACCAGACUGUGGGUUCCUUCAACAGGGUGAACAUGAGAGAUAGAAGCCACCGGUUUCUCCUGAUAGUGUGUAGAUGGGCAGAUCUGGCCUCAAUGGCAGAAGAUACUUGGGGAACUGGAGAAAGUACAGAGGGAGAUGUGAAAUCAGUUGGGUCAUCAAAAGAAGACGGGUGUACCACAAUUUGUUCCUCCACCUGCUGCCCAUGAACAUUUGGAUGGUUUCUAGUUUUUGGCUAUUACAAGUAAAGUUGUCAUGAACAUUUGCAUACAAA